rnacentral:rRNA from 1 species
CGAGCGUUAAUCGGAAUUACUGGGCGUAAAGCGUGCGCAGGCGGUGAUGUAAGACAGUUGUGAAAUCCCCGGGCUCAACCUGGGAAUUGCAUCUGUGACUGCAUCGCUAGAGUACGGUAGAGGGGGAUGGAAUUCCGCGUGUAGCAGUGAAAUGCGUAGAUAUGCGGAGGAACACCGAUGGCGAAGGCAAUCCCCUGGACCUGUACUGACGCUCAUGCACGAAAGCGUGGGGAGCAAACAGGAUUAGAUACCCUGGUAGUCCACGCCGUAAACGAUGAGAACUUGACGUUGGUUUGCUUAGCAAAUCGGUGUCGUAGCUAACGCGAUAAGUUCUCCGCCUGGGGAGUACGGCCGCAAGGUUAAAACUCAAAUGAAUUGACGGGGGCCCGCACAAGCGGUGGAGCAUGUG